rnacentral:rRNA from 1 species
GUCGAGAAUAAUUCACAAUGGACGAAAGUCUGAUGGUGCAACGCCGCGUGGAGGAUGACGGUCUUCGGAUUGUAAACUCCUGUCAUCCGGGAGUAAGACCUGGCUGUGAAUAGCAGACAGGGUUGAUAGUACCGGAAGAGGAAGGGACGGCUAACUUCGUGCCAGCAGCCGCGGUAAUACGAAGGUCCCGAGCGUUGUUCGGAAUCACUGGGCGUAAAGGGAGCGUAGGCGGCGUGGUAAGUCAGAUGUGAAAUCCCGGGGCUCAACCCCGGAACUGCAUCCGAUACUGCCGUGCUAGAGGAUUGGAGAGGUAGCUGGAAUUCUUGGUGUAGCAGUGAAAUGCGUGGAGAUCAAGAGGAACACUCGUGGCGAAAGCGAGCUACUGGACAAUAUCUGACGCUGAGGCUCGAAGGCCAGGGUAGCGAAAGGGAUUAGAAACCCGUGUAGUCC